ensembl:lncRNA
GGUUCACUUGUGCUCUGGAAAGCAAUGCCCCUGGCCUGCCAUGGAGAUCGAACAGAUCUACCAGAAUCUUUCCCAGCUCUUCUUCUCUGUGCUGAGGAACUGGCAGGACUGCAAGGAGGAAAAGGACAAACAGGCGGUCCUCGGGGCUGUGGCUGCCAUGAUGGCUGUCCUCCUUCGAGAAGAGCUGUGCCGAGAGCACGUUUGGGAGCAGCUCCUCUGGCUCGUGCACCCGUAUCAGGAGGUCCAAGACACCUGCAGGGUGACCAAGAGCCUCAGUGUCUUCCUGGAGGCCUUAGAGGGAGUUCAGUCUGUCAUCCCUAAGGACAAGUUUCUGGCCAUCACCAGCGCCG